rnacentral:lncRNA from 1 species
ACAAAUACAUGAGAUUGAGAGAGGAAGUUUACCUUUGUUUCAGUUUUUUCGUGUAGGAUAGAGAAGAAAGAGGAAUUUCUUUCUUAUUUUAUUGUUUUACUUUUAUUAUUAUUGAUAGCUUCCAUGUGUCAUUAGAUUAUUGGUGACUUUGUUUUUUUUAAGAAAAAAAUGCAAUGGUCAUUUUGCUACACCAUCGAGUCGCCCUCCUUUUCUUUUUUUGUUUAUUUUCAUUUUGUUUUUAUUAUUUUAUUUUAUUUGUUUUUUUAAUAUACAAUUAUUCUUA